rnacentral:misc_RNA from 1 species
GAAAUGCGAUAAGUAAUGUGAAUUGCAGAAUUCAGUGAAUCAUCGAAUCUUUGAACGCACAUUGCGCCUAUUAGUAUUCUGGCGGGCAUGCCUGUUCGAGCGUCAUUUCAACCAUCAAGCCCCCCGGCUUGUGUUGGGGACCUGCGGCUGCCGCAGGCCCUGAAAAGCAGUGGCGGGCUCGCUGUCACACCGAGCGUAGUAGCAUACAUCUCGCUCUGGGCGUGCUGCGGGUUCCGGCCGUUAAACCACCUUCGUAACCCAAGGUUGACCUCGGAUCAGGUAGGAAGACCCGCUGAACUUAAGC